AAAUCGCCCUCUAAGUUUUGCAACUUUAGCAGUUUUGGCCCCCCAAAGCAAAAAAAAAAAAAACAAGAAAAUAACACGUGGCACCUCACUUAGGGUGCCAUGUUAGCGUAGACCGAGUCAAAAUUGGUCUUGGGGGUCAAAACUACCACAGGUGCAAAACUUAGGGGGCAGUUU
rnacentral:pre_miRNA from 1 species